rnacentral:rRNA from 1 species
GACGAACGCUGGCGGCGUGCUUAACACAUGCAAGUCGAACGGAAAGGCCUCUUUCGGGGGGUACUCGAGUGGCGAACGGGUGAGUAACACGUGAGUAACCUGCCCUUGACUUUGGGAUAACUUCAGGAAACUGGGGCUAAUACCGGAUAGGAGCUCCUGCUGCAUGGUGGGGGUUGGAAAGUUUCGGCGGUUGGGGAUGGACUCGCGGCUUAUCAGCUUGUUGGUGGGGUAGUGGCUUACCAACGCUUUGACGGGUAGCCGGCCUGAGAGGGUGACCGGCCACAUUGGGACUGAGAUACGGCCCAGACUCCUACGGGAGGCAGCAGUGGGGAAGAUUGCACAAUGGGUGGAAGCCUGAUGCAGCAACGCCGUGUGCGGGAGGACGGCCUUCGGGUUGUAAACCGCUUUCGCUCAUGACGAAGCUUUGUGUGACGGUAGUGGGUAAAGAAGCACCGGCUAACUACGGG